rnacentral:rRNA from 1 species
GAUGAACGCUAGCUACAGGCUUAACACAUGCAAGUCGAGGGGAAACGGCAUCGAAAGCUUGCUUUUGAUGGGCGUCGACCGGCGCACGGGUGAGUAACGCGUAUCCAACCUGCCCAUCACUUGGGAAUAACCUUGCGAAAGUAAGACUAAUGCCCAAUGACAUCCCACGAAGGCAUCCGAAUGGGAUUAAAGAUUUAUCGGUGAUGGAUGGGGAUGCGUCUGAUUAGCUUGUUGGCGGGGUGACGGCCCACCAAGGCAACGAUCAGUAGGGGUUCUGAGAGGAAGGUCCCCCACAUUGGAACUGAGACACGGACCAAACUCCUACGGGAGGCAGCAGUGAGGAAUAUUGGCCAAUGGGCGAGAGCCUGAACCAGCCAAGUAGCGUGCAGGAGGACGGCCCUAUGGGUUGUAAACUGCUUUUAUAAGGGAAUAAAGUGGGUCACGUGUGACUUUUUGCAUGUACCUUAUGAAUAAGGACCGGCUAAUUCCGUG